rnacentral:rRNA from 1 species
UAGCCAGCACCCCGAGUGGUCGGGACGUUUUAUUGGGCCUAAAAGGCAUCCGUAGCCGGUUUCUACAAGUCUUCCGUUAAAUCCACCUGCUCAACAGAUGGGCUGCGGAAGAAUACUAUGGAGCUAGGGAGGCGGGAGAGGCAAGCGGUACUCGAUGGGUAGGGGUAAAAAUCCGUUGAUCCAUUGAAGACCACCAGUGGCGAAGGCGGCUUGCCAGAACGC